UACGUAGGGUGCGAGCGUUGUCCGGAAUUAUUGGGCGUAAAGAGCUUGUAGGCGGUUUGUCGCGUCUGCUGUGAAAAUCCGGGGCUCAACCCCGGACUUGCAGUGGGUACGGGCAGACUGGAGUGUGGUAGGGGAGACUGGAAUUCCUGGUGUAGCGGUGAAAUGCGCAGAUAUCAGGAGGAACACCGGUGGCGAAGGCGGAUCUCUGGGCCUUACCUGACGCUGAGGCGCGAAAGCUAGGGGAGCGAACAGG
rnacentral:rRNA from 1 species